rnacentral:rRNA from 1 species
UGGGGAAUAUUGCGCAAUGGGGGAAACCCUGACGCAGCGACGCCGCGUGUGGGAUGAAGGUCUUCGGAUUGUAAACCACUGUCGCGAGGGACGAAGCUCUGACGGUACCUCGAAAGGAAGCACCGGCUAACUCUGUGCCAGCAGCCGCGGUAAUACAGAGGGUGCGAGCGUUGUCCGGAAUCACUGGGCGUAAAGGGCGCGUAGGCGGCCCGGUAAGUAGGGGGUGAAAUCUCAUGGCUCAACUGUGAGGCUGCCUUCUAGACUGCCAGGCUUGAGCACAGUAGAGGCGAGUGGAAUUCCCGGUGUAGCGGUGGAAUGCGUAGAGAUCGAGAAGAACAUCGGUGGCGAAGGCGGCUCGCUGGGCUGUUGCUGACGCUGAGGCGCGAAAGCGUGGGGAGCAAACGGGAUUAGAUACCCACGUAGUCCCUGAGCGGGCUGGCAAGGCGC